rnacentral:lncRNA from 1 species
AAUAUCUAGAAACCACCGAGUGCGGAAAUCGAGGGGGGCAAUUUCGAUCGUGAGAAUUUUUUUGUACUUUCUUAAUUCGAAAUCCAAACUCGAAAGUAGGAGGAUUGGUGUUGGGUAUAAAAUACCCCCCAAUCGAAGUUUGUAAAAAAUCGACCCCUCCAGGGCUUUUCUAGCUUCCGACCUUGUGUGGUGUCUCUCUGAACCCCCUCGACCGUCCGAGCUUCCAUAAUGCCAUUCGGACUUCUCCGACAAUGAGCCUCUCCAUUCAUCUACCGGGCCGCUCCAAACACUCUCCGAGCUUCACUAUCAGCCGAUCUUCUACAGUAAUCAACUAUUCUCCGAAUCUCUUCCGGACUUCUCCCACCC